GACAGAGGUGCCGAGCGUUAGGCGGAAUCACUGGGCUUAAAGCGUGUGUAGGUGGAUGUCUAAGUACCUUGUGAAAUCCCACGGCUUAACCGUGGAACUGCUCGGUAUACUGGAUGUCUUGAGCCAGCUAGGGGCUACCGGAACAAAUGGUGGAGCGGUGAAAUGCGUAGAGAUCAGGAGGAACACCCGUGGCGAAGGCGGCCCUCUGGCUCGACCCUGACGCUGAGGCGCGAAAGCGUGGGGAGCGAACGGG
rnacentral:rRNA from 1 species